GGAUGGGAUUAGGGCUGCAUUGCAGCACCGUGAUGUUGGAGGACUGCCUGCAGGGGGUGCUGUUAUAAAGGCUGUGUUGGAGGACUACCUGUAGGGGGCGCUGUUAUGGGCGCUGUGUUGGAGGACUGCCCGCAGGGGGCGCUGGUAGGAGUGCUGUGUUGGAGGUCCACCUGCAGGGGGCGCUGUUAUAAGGGCUGUGUUGGAGGACCGCCUGCAGGGGGCGCUGUUAGGGGCGCUGUGUUGGAGGACCGCCUGCAGGGGGCGCUGUGUUGGAGGACCGCCUGCAGGGGGCGCUGUUAUAAGGGCUGUGUUGGAGGACCGCCUGCAGGGGGCGCUGUUAGGGGCGCUGUGUUGGAGGACCGCCUGCAGGGGGCGCUGUUAUAAGGGCUGUGUUGGAGGACCGCUUGCAGGGGGCGCUGGUAGGAGCGCUGUGUUGGAGGACCGCCUGCAGGGGGCGCUGUUAUGUGCGCUGUGUUGGAGGACCACCUGCAGGGGGCGCUGUUAUGUGCGCUGUGUUGGAGGACCGCCUGCAGGGGGCGCUGUUAUAAGGGCUGUGUUGGAGGACCGCUUGCAGGGGGCGCUGGUAGGAGCGCUGUGUUGGAGGACCGCCUGCAGGGGGCGCUG